rnacentral:rRNA from 1 species
UACGUAGUUAGCCGUGACUUUCUCACAGGGUACCGUCACUGUCUUCUUCCCCUGCGACAACAGUUUACAAUCCGAAGACCUUCUUCCUGCACGCGGCGUUGCUGCGUCAGGGUUCCCCCCAUUGCGCAAUAUUCCCCACUGCUGCCUCCCGUAGGAGUCUGGGCCGUGUCUCAGUCCCAAUGCGGCCGAUCAACCUCUCAGUUCGGCUACAGAUCGUCGCCUUGGUGAGCCGUUACCUCACCAACCAGCUAAUCUGACGCGAGUCCAUCCAUAAGCGAUAAAUCUUUCAAAUAUCUACCAUGCGGUAAAUAUUCAAUAUGCGGUAUUAGUCCACGUUUCCAUGGAUUAUCCCCCUCUUAUGGGCAGGUUACUCACGCGUUACUCGCCCGUCCGCCACUUUCCUCUUAAAAGUUCACCCCGAAGGGAUCACACAUAAGAUUCUCGUUCGACUUGCAUGUGUUAGGCACGCCGCCAGCGUGUCUCGUAGCCGACGGACGUCGAAACUACU